rnacentral:rRNA from 1 species
GACGAACGCUGGCGGCGUGCCUAAUACAUGCAAGUCGAGCGAUGAAGCUUGGUGCUUGCGCCAAUUUGGAGAGCAGAGCACGGGUGAGUCACGCGUGGGGAAUCUGCCUUUGAGCGGGGGACAACAUUUGGAAACGAAUGCUAAUACCGCAUAACAACUUUAAACAUAAGUUUUAAGUUUGAAAGUUGCAAUUGCGUCACUCAAAGAUGAUCCCGCGUCGUAUUAGCUAGUUGGUGAGGUAAAGGCUCACCAAGGCGAUGAUACAUAGCCGACCUGAGAGGGUGGGCGGCCACAUUGGGACGGAGACACGGCCCAAUGGCCUACAGAAGGCGGCAGUAGGGAUUCUGCGGCAAGGGACGAGAGUCUGACCGAGAAGGGCGGCGGGAGUAAAGAGGGUCUUCGGAUCGGAAAACACGGUUGGUGGAUUAGAACGUUGGUGAGAGUGGAAAGAUCAGUAAGUGACGGUAACGGCCAAGAAAGGGACGGCUAACUACGUG